rnacentral:rRNA from 1 species
UAAGGCGAGGCCGACAGGCGUAGUCGAAUGGACGAACGGGUCGAUAUUCCCGUACCGGCAUGCAACCGGCAAAACCGAAUCCGCGAGUACUAACCUCCGGGUCCGGGCUCACGUCUCCUUCGGGAGCCGGAUGCCCUGGCCUGUUGGGACCGUAACGGUAGUAGGUCAGCGCGGGAGUGACGCAGAAGGGUAGCCGGCCGCGGAGGUGGUCUUCCGUGGUCAAGCACGCAGCCCGUCCCACAGGCAAAUCCGUGGGGCGCGUGGGCGAGGUGCGAUGAUGGGCGCCGCAGGGCGCGAUAUCCGGUGAUCCCGGCUGCCGAGAAAAGCUUCGGCGUGAGGCGGCAUGCCGCCCGUACCCCAAACCGACACUGGUGGUCAGGUAGAGAAUACCAAAGCGAUCGAGCGAAUCCUGGUCAAGGAACUCGGCAAAUUACUCCCGUGCCUUCGGUAUAAGGGAGGCCCCUGAUGGUGAACCGGCUUGCCCGGGGAGCUGUUGGGGGUGGCACAGACCAGGGGGUAGCGACUGUUUACCAAAAACACAGGAGCGUGCGAAGGCGCAAGCCGCUGUAUACGCUCUGACGCCUGCCCGGUGCCGGAAGGUUAAGAGGAUCCGUCAGCCCCUUUGUUGGGGUGAAGCGGUGAAUUCAAGCCCCGGUAAACGGCGGUGGUAACUAUAACCAUCCUAAGGUAGCGAAAUUCCUUGUCGGGUAAGUUCCGACCUGCACGAAUGGCGUAACGACUUCCCCACUGUCUCGACCAGGAGCUCGGCGAAAUUGCAGUACGAGUAAAGAUGCUCGUUAAGCGCAGAAGGACGAAAAGACCCCGGGACCUUUACUAUACCUUGGUAUUGGCAUUAGGCGCGGAUUGUGUAGCAUAGGCGGGAGGCUUCGAAGCGGGUGCGCCAGCAUCCGUGGAGCCGCAAGGUGAAAUACCGCUCUGUUCUCGUUUGAUGUCUCACCUCGACCAGUCAUCCUGGUCAGGGACAGUGCCUGGCGGGUAGUUUAACUGGGGCGGUUGCCUCCCAAAGAGUAACGGAGGCGCUCAAAGGUUCCCUCAGCCCGGUUGGCAAUCGGGUGGCGAGUGUAAGUGCACAAGGGAGCUUGACUGCGAGACUGACGGGUCGAGCAGGGACGAAAGUCGGAACUAGUGAUCCGGUGCCGGUGUACGGACGCGGCAUCGCUCAACGGAUAAAAGGUACCCCGGGGAUAACAGGCUGAUCAUUCCCAAGAGUCCAUAUCGACGGGAUGGUUUGGCACCUCGAUGUCGGCUCGUCGCAUCCUGGGGCUGGAGCAGGUCCCAAGGGUUCGGCUGUUCGCCGAUUAAAGCGGCACGCGAGCUGGGUUCAGAACGUCGUGAGACAGUUUGGUCUCUAUCCUCUGCGCUCGUUGGAAUCUUGAGGAGACCUGCCCAUAGUACGAGAGGACCUGGGUGGACGAACCUCUGGUAUGCCGGUCGUCACGCCAGUGGCGCGGCCGGUUGGCUACGUUCGGAAGGGAUAACCGCUGAAAGCAUCUAAGCGGGAAGCCUCCUCCAAGAUCAGGAUUCCGUGGCACCCUCGAGUGCCUGUAGUCCCCAUGCAGAACACGUGGUUGAUAGGCCGGACGUGGAAGCCCCGCGAGGGGUGGAGCUGACCGGUACUAACGGACGAAAGGCAAUCAC